rnacentral:rRNA from 1 species
GGGAACGUGCCUUCUGGUUCGGAAUAACUCAGGGAAACUUGAGCUAAUACCGGAUACGCCCUUUUGGGGAAAGGUUUACUGCCGGAAGAUCGGCCCGCGUCUGAUUAGCUAGUUGGUGGGGUAAUGGCCUACCAAGGCGACGAUCAGUAGCUGGUCUGAGAGGAUGAUCAGCCACACUGGGACUGAGACACGGCCCAGACUCCUACGGGAGGCAGCAGUGGGGAAUAUUGGACAAUGGGCGCAAGCCUGAUCCAGCCAUGCCGCGUGAGUGAUGAAGGCCUUAGGGUUGUAAAGCUCUUUUAUCCGGGACGAUAAUGACGGUACCGGAGGAAUAAGCCCCGGCUAACUUCGUGCCAGCAGCCGCGGUAAUACGAAGGGGGCUAGCGUUGCUCGGAAUCACUGGGCGUAAAGGGCGCGUAGGCGGCGUUUUAAGUUGGGGGUGAAAGCCUGUGGCUCAACCACAGAAUUGCCUUCGAUACUGGGACGCUUGAGUGUGGUAGAGGUUGGUGGAACUGCGAGU